rnacentral:rRNA from 1 species
CCUACGGGAGGCAGCAGUGGGGAAUCUUGCGCAAUGGGCGAAAGCCUGACGCAGCCAUGCCGCGUGGAUGAUGAAGGUCUUAGGAUUGUAAAAUCCUUUCACCGGUGAAGAUAAUGACUGUAGCCGGAGAAGAAGCCCCGGCUAACUUCGUGCCAGCAGCCGCGGUAAUACGAAGGGGGCUAGCGUUGCUCGGAAUUACUGGGCGUAAAGGGAGCGUAGGCGGACAUUUAAGUCAGAGGUGAAAUCCCGGAGCUUAACUUCGGAACUGCCUUUGAUACUGGGUGUCUUGAGUGUGAGAGAGGUAUGUGGAACUCCGAGUGUAGAGGUGAAAUUCGUAGAUAUUCGGAAGAACACCAGUGGCGAAGGCGACAUACUGGCUCAUUACUGACGCUGAGGCUCGAAAGCGUGGGGAGCAAACAGGAUUAGAUACCCUGGUAGUCCACGCCGUAAACGAUGAUUGCUAGUUGUCGGGAAGCUUGCUUCGUCGGUGACGCGAGCUACGCAUUAAGACACUCCGCCGUCGGGAGGUACGGUCGCGAGAAUUAAAACGUUAAAACGGUAAGUUAGACGGCGUGAGACGUGCCGACGGACGACGACGAGGGAGGUAGG